AGUGAGAUGGCUGAGCUGUCUAAGGUGCCAGACUAAGGAUCAAGGCAGUUGCUGUCUAUCUCUCAAGGUUCAAAACUUGGAUCAUCUGGUCUUUCCUUUCGGGGCAUGGAUUCGAAUCCCACUCUCAUCA